GAUGAACGCUGGCGGCGUGCUUAACACAUGCGAGUCGAACGGAAAGGCCCAAGCUUGCUUGGGUACUCGAGUGGCGAACGGGUGAGUAACACGUGGGUGAUCUGCCCUGCACUUCGGGAUAAGCCUGGGAAACUGGGUCUAAUACCGGAUAGGACGAUGGUUUGGAUGCCAUUGUGGAAAGUUUUUUCGGUGUGGGAUGAGCUCGCGGCCUAUCAGCUUGUUGGUGGGGUAAUGGCCUACCAAGGCGUCGACGGGUAGCCGGCCUGAGAGGGUGUACGGCCACAUUGGGACUGAGAUACGGCCCAGACUCCUACGGGAGGCAGCAGUGGGGAAUAUUGCACAAUGGGCGCAAGCCUGAUGCAGCGACGCCGCGUGGGGGAUGACGGCCUUCGGGUUGUAAACUCCUUUCGCUAGGGACGAAGCGUUUUUGUGACGGUACCUGGAGAAGAAGCACCGGCUAACUACGU
rnacentral:rRNA from 1 species